UUCUAACUUGCAAGAUAUUGACAGAAAUAGUAACAGAUGAAAGAGAUGGAAGAACAGAAGAGAUUGUAUUCAGCAGAUUGAAAACUUUGGAACUCAUUCAUUUAAAAAGCCUUGAAGGAUUCUGCUUGGGUAGUUUAACCUUCAAAUUCCCAUGUUUGGAAGUAGUAACCGUGAGUGGAUGCCCCAAUAUGAGGACCUUUUCUGAUGGAGUCUUAAGCACACCAAAGCUGCAGUGCGUACAUCUGCAUGAAGUGCGUUUUCAGAGUUGGCGUUGGGAGGGCAACCUUAAUGCCAC
rnacentral:misc_RNA from 1 species